rnacentral:misc_RNA from 2 species
CCCAACUAUCCCUAUUAAUCAUUACGUUGUACCUAGAAACCAACAAAAUAGGUUCGAACGUCCUAUUUCAUUAUUCCAUGCUAAUGUAUUCAAGCGUUUGCCUGCUUUAAACACUCUAAUUUUUUCAAAGUAACAGUCCUGACUCCCCACAACACCAAAUUAAUGACAUCAUGGUUCAUCAGAAGGGAGAAAUCAACGACGCCAGUGCGUACCGAAGGCACGACCGACGUAUUGAUCCCGAAAUUCAACUACGAGCUUUUUAACUGCAACAACUUUAAUAUACGCUAUUGGAGCUGGAAUUACCGCGGCUGCUGGCACCAGACUUGCCCUCCAA